UACGUAGGGUGCAAGCGUUGUCCGGAAUUAUUGGGCGUAAAGAGCUCGUAGGCGGUCUGUCGCAUCGGCUGUGAAAACCCGGGGCUCAACCCCGGGCCUGCAGUCGAUACGGGCAGACUAGAGUGCGGUAGGGGAGACUGGAAUUCCUGGUGUAGCGGUGAAAUGCGCAGAUAUCAGGAGGAACACCGGUGGCGAAGGCGGGUCUCUGGGCCGUAACUGACGCUGAGGAGCGAAAGCGUGGGUAGCAAACAGG
rnacentral:rRNA from 1 species